UUCCAUCUCUUCCCAUUUCUUUUUCCUUUUUGCAUCUCCCUCCUCAUUUUUUUCCCUUUUCUACUUCUCCCACUUUUUCCCCUUUUCCAUCUCUCCCUUUCUUUCUCUCCUCCAUCUCUCUCCCUUUUUCCACUUUUUUCCAUCUCUCCCCAUUUUUUCCUUUCUCCAUCUCUCUCCCUUAAUAUUUCCCUUUCCCAUCUCUCCCCAUCUCUCCUCAUUUUUUCCCCUUUUCCAUCUCCCCCUUUUUUCCCUUUUCCAUCUCUCCCCAUUUCUUUUUCCCUUCUCCAUCCCUCCCCAUUUCUUUCCCAUUUCUCUCCCUCUUCCAUCUCUCCAUUUUUUUCCCCUUCUCCAUCUCUUCAUUUCUUUUCCAUCUCCCCCUUUUUUUCCCCUUUUUCCAUCUCUCCCCAUUUUUCCCUCCUCCCUCUCUCCCCAUUUCUUUAUCCCUCCUCCAUUUCUCUGCAUUUUUUCCCUUCUCCAUCUCUCUCCCUUUAUAUUUCCCUUUUCCAUCUCUCCCCAUUUCUUUCCCAUUCCUUUCCCUUUUCCAUCUCUCUCCCUUUCUUUAUCCCUCCUCCAUCUCUCCCCUUUUUUCCCUUUUCCACCUCUCCCAAUUUCUUUCAUGCUCCAUCUCUCCAUUUCUUUAUCCCUUCUCCAUCUCUCCCUUUUUUCCCCUUUUUCCAUCUCUCUCCCCAUUUUUUUCCCCUUUUCCAUCUCCCCCUUUCUUUCCCUUUCCAUCUCUCUCUUUAUUUUUCCCUUUUCCAUCUCUCCCCAUUUCUGUUUCCCUCCUCCAUCUCCCUCCAUUUUUUCCCUUUCCCAUUUUUUCCCCAUCUCUCCCCAUUUUUUCCCCCCGGUACCCCUGUCCCCCCAGGUGUCCCGGAUAGCCGCCUACGCCUUCAGCGCCCUCUCCCAGAUCCGCGUGGAUGCGAAAGAAGAGCUGGUUGUACAGUUUGGCAUCCCCUGAGCCCCCCCCGCGGCACCCCCGCCCCGGGGGCUGGCUUUUUUGGUUUGGUUUUGGUUUGGUUUUCCCUCUUUUUGGCUUUAUUUCCCCCCCCCCGUGGCACCUCGCCCUUGUACAGACGCCCGGUUCACCGCUGCCACCCCAAAGCUUCGUCCCCACUGCUUGGGGGGGGGGGGCAGUGGGGAGGGGGCUGCGACCCCCCCACGGCCCCACUGCACCCGGGGAGCCCACAGCAGGGGUCUUGGGGGGGGGGGGGGGGGGGGGGGCACAUCAUCCCUGCGGGGGGCUCCAGGGGGCUGCGAGGCUCUGGAGGUGCCCCCCCCCAGUUUUGGGGUGAGCCCCCCCCCCCAUUAUCCCAGCUCACGGUGGAGCCCCCCCAGCCCCAAAGUGUGGGGUAUGGGGUAAAAAGGGGUCAGGGGCUCUCCCCGCAGCCCCCCCCGGGGGGGGGGUUUCCCAUCCCCACACACUUGGGGGCUGCCAGCAGGCGCUGUAGGGUGGGGGGCAGCCCCCACAGCUCCCCCAGCCCCACACAUAGGCCGGGUGCAGCCCUCGGCUGGGAGAGGGGCGGUUUGUGGGGUGGAGAUAUGGGGGUGUGGGGUGGGGGGGGGGGUGAGGGGGCCCCCUGCCCAUACACACGCCUUUGCCCCUACCCGUACCCGUAUUGGGGUGUAUGUCCAUAUAUCCACUCCCCUGCCUGUCCCUGUACCCAGACCCAUUCCCUGUACCCAUACCUGUACCCCCUCCCCUGCCUGUACCCUUACCAGUACCCCUGCCCAUACUGGUACCCGUACCCCCUCCCAUACCCAUACCCCUUCCUCUGCCCAUACUCACGUCUGUACACAUGCCUGUACCCAUACCCGUACCCAAUUCCUGCACCAUACCCGUACCUGUACCCAUACCUGUACCCCUACCUGUACCCAUUCCCCAUACCCGUACCCAUACACUUACCCCCUCCCCUACCUGUACCCAUAC
rnacentral:lncRNA from 1 species